UACAGAGGGGGGCAAGCGUUGUUCGGAAUUACUGGGCGUAAAGGGCGCGUAGGCGGCCUUCUAAGUCGAACGUGAAAUCCCUGGGCUCAACCCAGGAACUGCGUCCGAUACUGGAAGGCUUGAAUCCGGGAGAGGGAUGCGGAAUUCCAGGUGUAGCGGUGAAAAUGCGUAGAUAUCUGGAGGAACACCGGUGGCGAAGGCGGCAUCCUGGACCGGUAUUGACGCUGAGGCGCGAAAGCGUGGGGGAGCAAACAGG
rnacentral:rRNA from 1 species